rnacentral:rRNA from 1 species
UACGAAGGGGGCUAGCGUUGCUCGGAAUCACUGGGCGUAAAGGGUGCGUAGGCGGGUUUUUAAGUCAGAGGUGAAAUCCUGGAGCUCAACUCCAGAACUGCCUUUGAUACUGAAAGUCUUGAGUAUGGGAGAGGUGAGUGGAACUGCGAGUGUAGAGGUGAAAUUCGUAGAUAUUCGCAAGAACACCAGUGGCGAAGGCGGCUCACUGGCCCAUAACUGACGCUGAGGCACGAAAGCGUGGGGAGCAAACAGGG